rnacentral:rRNA from 1 species
GAUGAACGCUGGCGGCGUGCCUAAUACAUGCAAGUCGAGCGAACAGACGAGGAGCUUGCUCCUCUGACGUUAGCGGCGGACGGGUGAGUAACACGUGGAUAACCUACCUAUAAGACUGGGAUAACUUCGGGAAACCGGAGCUAAUACCGGAUAAUAUAUUGAACCGCAUGGUUCAAUAGUGAAAGACGGUUUUGCUGUCACUUAUAGAUGGAUCCGCGCCGCAUUAGCUAGUUGGUAAGGUAACGGCCUACCAAGGCAACGAUGCGUAGCCGACCUGAGAGGGGGAUCGGCCACACUGGAACGGAGACACGGUCCAUACUCCUACGGGAGGCAGCAGUAGGGAAUCUGACGCAAUAGGCGAAAGCCUGACGGAGCAACGCCGCGUGAGUGAUGAAGGUCUUCGGAUCGUAAAACUCGGUUAUUAGGGAAGAACAAAUGUGUAAGUAACUAUGCACGGCUUGACGGUACCUAAUCAGAAAGCCACGGCUAACUACGUG